AGAGGUCCCAAGCGUUGUUCGGAUUUACUGGGCGUAAAGGGUGCGUAGGUGGUCGGGUAAGUCUGAUGUGAAAUCUCGGAGCUUAACUCCGAAACUGCAUUGGAUACUACUCGGCUUGAGAGUUGGAGGGGGGACUGGAAUUCUCGGUGUAGCAGUGAAAUGCGUAGAUAUCGAGAGGAACACCAGUGGCGAAGGCGAGUCCCUGGACAACUUCUGACACUGAGGCACGAAAGCCAGGGGAGCAAACGGGAUUAGAUACCCCGGUAGUCCUGGCCCUAAACGGUGCACGUUUGCUGUGAGAGGAAUCGACCCCUUUCGUGGCGAAGCUAACGCGUUAAACGUGCCGCCUGGGAAGUACGGCCGCAAGGUUA
rnacentral:rRNA from 1 species